rnacentral:rRNA from 1 species
AACGAACGCUGGCGGCGUGCCUAACACAUGCAAGUCGAACGCGAAAGGGGGCAACCCCCGGUAGCGUGGCAGACGGGUGAGUAACACGUGGGUAACCUACCCCGAGGUGGGGAAUAACCUUCCGAAAGGAGGGCUAAUACCGCAUGACAUCACGAGGGUCUCGGCCUUCGGGAUCAAAGCUGGCCUCUGUUUACAAGCUGGCGCCACGGGAGGGACCCGCGCCCCAUUAGCUAGUUGGUGAGGUUACGGCUCACCAAGGCGACGAUGGGUAGCCGGCCUGAGAGGGUGAUCGGCCACACUGGAACUGAGACACGGUCCAGACUCCUACGGGAGGCAGCAGUGAGGAAUAUUGCGCAAUGGGCGAAGGCCUGACGCAGCGACGCCGCGUGGGGGAUGAAGGUCUUCGGAUUGUAAACUCCUGUCGAGCGGGACGAAGGCGGUGAGCGUUAACAGCGCUCGCCGUUGACGGUACCGCUGGAGGAAGCCCCGGCUAACUCCGUGCCAGCAGCCGCAGUAA